rnacentral:lncRNA from 1 species
AUGAACAUCUUACAUCUGGAUAUCAAAACAGACAAUAUCCUAAUGGUGUCCCCUGCGAGAGAAGAAAUCCAAAUCUGUGAUUUUGGCUUCUGCCAGGAAAUUGACAACUCCAGACACCAGUACAGCAAGUUUGGGACACCUGAAUUUGUUGCACCAGAAAUUGUCCACCAAGAACCUGUGACAGUAGCCACUGAUAUCUGGUCUCUUGGUGUGGUUACUUACCUAUGCUUAACAUGCCACUGUCCUUUCUUCGGGGAGAAUGACCGUUCCACACUGAUGAAGGUCGCUGAGGGUGUGCUGUACUGGUACACACCUGAGAUCACAAACAGAAGUGUGGAGGCACAGGACUUCCUACAUAGGGUUCUACAGCCAGACCCAGAAGUGAGACCCUCUGCAUCUGAGUGUUUGAGUCAUGAGUGGUUUCAGGGUUAUUAUGAAGAUGAAGAACCUGAGGGCAUAAAUACCAAAAAUCUAAAAUCUUUUAUUUCAAGAAGAAAAUGGCAGCGUUCCUUGACAUGUCUCGGCUCGGUUCUGACUUUGAGACCAAUCCCAGAGUUGUUGGAGGCUCCUCUGCGUGACGUUUCGAUUACAGCUACAAGGGAAACCCAGGAGCUCAGCAGCACCUCCCUAAGUAGUGGAUCCUCCUCAGAGUUUGAUGAAGCAGAUGCUUGGGACUUCUUCCAACAGGUGAGCCAGGAGAAUGAAGAUGAUCUGGAAGAAGAGGAAGAAUAUGACCCAUACACUCAUGUGUCAAAGACGCCCACAGUUUUAAAACGGGAUGAAGAAGAUGUGCUUAUUGCUGAGGACCGCAUUCACAGUGGCCUGCUGGUGAUUUCCACGUCCACACCAUCAACAGAGCCAGUCAGUUUGGAGAGGAGGGACAGUAGCCCCUAUCUUCACCUCUCUGAGAGAGACGAAGGAUUGGAUCCCAUACCACGUCGUAUCCUCAUCAAGAGCACUUUUUAUUGCAGCUCCGAGCAGCUCUCACCCAUGUCUGCUCGUCACAUGACGCUUCGGGAUAAAAUCCAAGCUAAAAAGCAAGAGCGUGGCCGUAAACCCCUCCGUGCCAGCCUCUCCGGCAGGUUAAAUGAGCCCCUCAUAGAGUAUGUAGAAGAUUCCCCAGACUUAGAAGCUAAUCGUAACCAAAGAAGAGGAUCAAUGCAUUCAUCUAUCCUCAAGUCAAGCUCAUUUGAUAGUGGAGUGAGUGCUGCCCAUCCAAGCAUACACACCCAGAGAAGAAGCAGGUCAUUAGAUGUAUACACACAACGCUCUCCAACUUCAACUGACCCAACAGUGCAAGGAGAGGAUGAGCAUGAUGUUGAAGAAAGCCAGAAACCAGAUGUCACUGAUGAAGAAGAGGAAAAAACUGAAGAAGUCCAAGUGAGAAGGAAACUUUGCCGUCGCUCUGCGUUUUUGUCAAAGAAAGGCCCAUUAAUUGUGAGAAAGGUCAGAGCACAGGUUCAUGAGCCUGAAGAAGGACAUCAGCCAGCCUUGCAGAGUUCUUGUGAGGAUGACAACCAGUUGCAGGUCACGGAAACAGAGACAAGACAUUUAGGUGAUGAGGAGAGCGUGGAUGGCUCACAGCUUUCACUGGCAUGUUCGCUUGACCACAGUUCAGAAGCUUCUAGCAGGAUAGGCUCACAUGAAGAACUCUCCCACAGACACCACCAUGAUGAGAGCUUGAUCGCUGCAUCCUCUGGAAAAACAUCUCCAUGCUCUUUACUACAAGACUCUGAGGAUGAAGACAUGGAGAGGGUCCUGAGAUCUCUUUGCCAAGACCUCCCGCAAGCCCCGCCAAGACGGCGCACCAACAGUUCAAGCUCUGGACUAAAUGAGAUGCGCAAUAAGAGUGACGUCCUUCUGAGAAGAAGCUCCUCUGCGGUUCCUGUCCAGGCUGCAGUAGCAGGACGAGAAAGUAAAGAGUUACUUCAAAGACAUGCCUCAGCCCCGGCUCUUCAAGCCAAACCCCCUAGUGGGAAAUCUUCCAAGCCUGGAUUCAUGAAGAUCUUCCGUAAACAUUCGUGGGCUAGCCAUUCUUCUCCUCAACUAGAAGGCUCGGAAAAGAAACAAACAGAAGGAGCAUCCUCACAACCCAAGACCCCUCUUCUAACUCUGAGGAAGAAGAUGCGAGCUUCAGCCUCUAGCAUUACAAAACUGUUUACCCGACAAUCCAGCAAAGAGGAUGAAGAGAAGAAGAAAGGCGGACCAAUUGUGAAGAACUCCUCCCCCGUCACGCCAGAGAAAAUGACCACAGUAAUAGCCACCACCUCAUCCGAAAGUCCUCAGAAGAAGUCCAAAUUGUUCUCGCUGAAAGUGCCGAUAUUUAAGAAAACCAAAGAAAGUCCAGUCAAACCAUCCAGGCCAGAUGUCAUUCAGCUAGCAGGAGGAGGAGUGCUUGUGUUCUGGAAACUUGUGCCAUCAAAAGAACUUGUCACAUAUUGUAUUCAGUAUAGUGUAAAUGGUGUGGAGUGGAGAAUGUUGGCAGAGAAUGUUACAGACAGCUGUUUUACAGUAAAUGCCCUUCCGAGAGGACCGGGAUAUAUGUUCAGAGUGUCCCAUAACACCAAGACAGGGUUGGCACCUUUUAGUGACCCUUCACCACCAGCCUUUAUGGCCACACCUUAUGAAGGUAGAGACUUGCUGGAAAUAUUACUUAUUUUUAUCCAAAACUACUUAAAAUGU